AUGAUCUAAAGCCAAAUUUAAGAGUGAUUAGUAAAAGAAAAGAGAACUGUAAUGUAAGUAAUGUGUAAAAUGGUAUGUUACAGGUGGAGCAGAGAGGCUAAGCAAAGAUUCGUACAUUGCACUGGCGGCCUGUCUGGCGAUAAUUCUCAGUGUUCUGGCUCUGGUUGUUCUCAUCGCCGCAGUCUGGAGAAUAAAGAAGUGGAAAUUAGAGCAAAAUCUGAGAGCACCAGGAGCCGGAAGACAGACAAAAAACCCUCCAACAGAUCAAACACCGGAAGUGUUUGUUAUUCCAUAACAAGAACUGCAGGUUCUUCUGCAACUACAUCAGCACCAACAAGAAUCGCUGGAACUGGAACACUUUUUACUCAGGCAUGA
rnacentral:lncRNA from 1 species